rnacentral:rRNA from 1 species
GAUGAACGCUGGCGGCGUGCUUAAUACAUGCAAGUCGAACGGAAAGUGUAGCAAUAUACUUUUAGUGGCGAACGGGUGAGUAACGCGUUGGUGACCUACCCCGAAGUGGGGGAUACCAGUUCGAAAGGACUGCUAAUACCCCAUGUGGUCAUGAGGAUUAGAUGCUUUAUGACUAAAGGCGUAAUCCGCUUCGGGAGGGGCCUGCGUCCCAUCAGCUUGUUGGUAGGGUAAUGGCCUACCAAGGCGACGACGGGUAGGGGACCUGAGAGGGUGACCCCCCACACUGGCACUGAAACACGGGCCAGACACCUACGUGGCAG